rnacentral:lncRNA from 1 species
GCUAGAUUUAAAAGUCACAACCAAUCACUUUUCUCGUUUAUUUUCGUCAAAUAGAAGUUAGGAAUAAUAAAUUGAGUAUUAAAGUAUAGUCCUCGUGGGAACGAUAAUCCGGACUCAAAAGGUCCACUUUACUACUUGUUACGAUCCGUACACUUGCGGGAUAAAAUCGACAACAGGGCACAACAGCUGAAUGCUCACCAUCAAAUUCGGAACAAAGAGGAAACGCAAAAUCUCAUUCGCAAUGACAUGGAUUUCUUCGAAAACUGAAGAAAGGGUCGACUAUGCAUUUGCAUCCGUUCCAUCCUAACUUACCGAACUUUCAUUCAAUCAGUUGAAAAGACGACGGAAUGCGCAGAGUUUGUCAGUAUUGCCACCCCUUGUCGACCCUAAUUUGAUAUUCAACUUUAAAUCUACAUGGAAGAACUUUUCCCUCUCCCACCUCCAAUCAGCAACAGACAACUUUAACCAUGAAAACCUGAUCGGGGAGGGAGGUUAUUCUGAAGUUUACCAGGGUCGAUUGGAAGAUGGCCAGCUAGUAGCGAUCAAGAGGUUGAUCAGAGAAACCCCGACUCAUAAGGCAGAAGACUACUUAUCAGAGCUCGGGGUUUUAGUACAUGUCGACCAUCCAAACAUUGCGAGUGUUAUAGGCUUUGCACUUUAAGGAGGGAUGCAUCUUGUUCUUCCCUUGUCUAUUAAUGGGAG